AGUGAACGCUGGCGGUAGGCCUAACACAUGCAAGUCGAACGGCAGCACAGUAAGAGCUUGCUCUUACGGGUGGCGAGUGGCGGACGGGUGAGGAAUACAUCGGAAUCUACUUUUUCGUGGGGGAUAACGUAGGGAAACUUACGCUAAUACCGCAUACGACCUACGGGUGAAAGCAGGGGAUCUUCGGACCUUGCGCGAUUGAAUGAGCCGAUGUCGGAUUAGCUAGUUGGCGGGGUAAAGGCCCACCAAGGCGACGCUCCGUAGCUGGUCUGAGAGGAUGAUCAUCCUCACUGGAACUGAGACACGGUCCAGACUCCUACGGGAGGCAGCAGUGGGGAAGAUUGGACAAUGGGCGCAAGCCUGAUCCAGCCAUACCGCGUGGGUGAAGAAGGCCUUCGAGUUGUAAAGCCCUUUUGUUGGGAAAGAAAAGCAGCAGGUUAAUACCCCGCUGUUCUGACGGUACCCAAAGAAUAAGCACCGGCUAACUUCGUG
rnacentral:rRNA from 1 species